UCAGCCUUGCACCUGGAGAACUUGCCU
rnacentral:piRNA from 1 species